CCUACGGGAGGCAGCAGUGGGGAAUUUUGGACAAUGGACGCAAGUCUGAUCCAGCCAUUCCGCGUGCAGGACGAAGGCCUUCGGGUUGUAAACUGCUUUUGUACGGAACGAAAAAGCUCUUAUUAAUACCAGGAGUCCAUGACGGUACCGUAAGAAUAAGCACCGGCUAACUACGUGCCAGCAGCCGCGGUAAUACGUAGGGUGCAAGCGUUAAUCGGAAUUACUGGGCGUAAAGCGUGCGCAGGCGGUUAUAUAAGACAGAUGUGAAAUCCCCGAGCUUAACUUGGGAACUGCAUUUGUGACUGUAUAGCUAGAGUACGGCAGAGGGGGAUGGAAUUCCGCGUGUAGCAGUGAAAUGCGUAGAUAUGCGGAGGAACACCGAUGGCGAAGGCAAUCCCCUGGGCCUGUACUGACGCUCAUGCACGAAAGCGUGGGGAGCAAACAGGAUUAGAUACCCUGGUAGUCCACGCCCUAAACGAUGUCAACUGGUUGUUGGGUCUUCACUGACUCAGUAACGAAGCUAACGCGUGAAGUUGACCGCCUGGGGGAGGUACGGCCGCGAGGUUAGUAAACGUUAAAGGUAAAGUUAGUACGGCGUGAGACGUGCCGACGGACGACGACGAGGGAGGUUAGGG
rnacentral:rRNA from 1 species